UACGGGGGGGGCAAGCGUUGUUCGGAAUUACUGGGCGUGAAGGGCUCGUAGGCGGCCAACUAAGUCAGACGUGAAAUCCCUCGGCUUAACCGGGGAACUGCGUCUGAUACUGGAUGGCUUGAAUCCGGGAGAGGGAUGCGGAAUUCCAGGUGUAGCGGUGAAAUGCGUAGAUAUCUGGAGGAACACCGGUGGCGAAGGCGGCAUCCUGGACCAACACUGACGCUGAGGAGCGAAAGCCAGGGGAGCAAACGGG
rnacentral:rRNA from 1 species